AUGAACGCUGGCGGCGUGCCUAAUACAUGCAAGUCGAGCGAACAGAUGAGGAGCUUGCUCCUCUGACGUUAGCGGCGGACGGGUGAGUAACACGUGGAUAACCUACCUAUAAGACUGGGAUAACUUCGGGAAACCGGAGCUAAUACCGGAUAAUAUAUUGAACCGCAUGGUUCAAUAGUGAAAGACGGUUUUGCUGUCACUUAUAGAUGGAUCCGCGCCGCAUUAGCUAGUUGGUAAGGUAACGGCUUACAAAGGCAACGACGCGUAGCCGGCCUGAGAGGGUGACCGGCAACAGUGGGAAGGAGAUAGGGCCCAGACUCAUACGGGAGGCAGCAGUGGGGAAUAUUGAAAAAUGGGUGGAAGAAUGAAGCAGAAAAGAAGCGUGCGGGAUGACUGCCUUCGGGUUGUAAACCGCUUUCGACGGUGAAGAAGAGGGAGUGAGGGUAAUGGGUAAAGAAGAAACGGCUAAGUACGUG
rnacentral:rRNA from 1 species